AUAAAGGCUGAAGAAGCAGAAAAAGUUUGAUCUGCGAUUGAUUCAACGUUUGACUCACAUCGACCUCAGAGCUCUUCAUCUUCAUCAUCACUUCCUCCCAGUCAGACCCAGUAGAACCAGUCUCAGCUGAUCCACAUCAAACCAGUUUGUUCCUGAGGAAACAGAGACGGAGACCCAGAGGUCAGAGGUUCCUCCAUCCUGAAGGUCAAAGGUCAGAAGCUGAUCUGAAGGAUCCAGGAGGAUCAGACUGUCUGGAGAACAACAGAGAAGGACAGAGAAGGUCAUCACCAUGGCAGGUUCACGAAACCCAAAAAGAUCUCGGGCUCCAUCAGCUCCAUCA